UGGAAGUCUACUGUGUGCUGUGGAGCAAAU
rnacentral:piRNA from 1 species